GGGAAUGUGGCUUAGUGGUAGAGUGCUUGCCUAGCAUGCAUUAAGCCCUGGGUUCGAUUCCUCAGUACCA
rnacentral:tRNA from 1 species